rnacentral:misc_RNA from 1 species
GAUGAAGAACGUAGCGAAAUGCGAUAAGUAAUGUGAAUUGCAGAAUUCAGUGAAUCAUCGAAUCUUUGAACGCACAUUGCGCUCCCUGGUAUUCCGAGGGGCAUGCCUGUUCGAGCGUCAUUUCAACCCCUCAAGCUCAGCUUGGUGUUGGGCUGCGCCAGCGUGCUGGCGGGCCUUAAAAUCAGUGGCGGUGCCGCGUGGGCUCCAAGCGUAGUAGCAUCUCUCGCUCUGGGGACCCGGCGGUUGCCUGCCAGACAAUCACUAAAAAAAACAAAAGGUUUGACCUCGGAUCAGGUAGGGAUACCCGCUGAACUUAAGCAUAUCAAUAAGCGGAGGA